rnacentral:rRNA from 1 species
GAUGAACGCUGGCGGCGGGCCUAACACAUGCCAGUCGAGCGAGCCGACGAGAGGCAGGCGCGUCUGAGGUUAGCGGGGGACGGGUGAGUAACACGUGGAUAGCCUACCUAUAAGACUGGGAUAACUUUGGGGAACCGGAGCUAAUACGGGAUAAUAUAUUGAACAGAAUGGUGCAAAAGUGAAAGACGGUCGUGCUGUCACUUAUAGAUGGAUCCGCGUUGCAUUAGCUAGUUGGUAAGGUAACGGAUUACCAAGGCGACGAUGCAUAGCCGACCUGAGAGGGUGAUCAGCCACAAUGGGACUGAGACACGGCCCAGCCUCCUACGGGAGGCAGCAGUAGGGAAUCUUACGCAAUGGGCGCAAGCCUGACGGAGCAACGCCGCGUGAGUGAUGAAGGUCUUCGGCUCGUAAAGCUCUGUUAUUAGGUAAGAACAUAUGCAGGAGUAUCUGUUCACUUCUUGACGGUACCUAAUCAAAAAGCAACGGCUAACUUCGUG